rnacentral:rRNA from 1 species
AGGGUUUGAUCUACGGCCUCAGAACGAACGCUGGCGGCAUGCCUAAUACAUGCAAGUCGCACGAGAAAGUUCCUUCCGGGGAUGAGUAAAGUGGCAGACGGGUGAGUAAUACGUAGGUAAUUUUCCCUUGAGAUGGGGACAACCUUCCGAAAGGAGGGCUAAUACCGAAUGAGACCACACUUUCUACGGAUUGUGGGGUUAAAGGUGGCCUCUACUUGUAAGCUACCACUUAAGGAUGAGCCUACGCACCAUUAGCUUGUUGGUAAGGCAACGGCUUACCAAGGCGACGAUGGUUAGCUGAUCUGAGAGGUUGAUCAGCCACACUGGGACUGAGACACGGCCCAGACUCCUACGGGAGGCAGCAGUAGGGAAUAUUGCGCAAUGGAGGAAACUCUGACGCAGCAAUGCCGCGUGGGCGAUGAAGGCUUUCGGGUCGUAAAGCCCUGUCGGAGGGGAAGAAAAACACGGUAACGAAUAGUUCCGUGCUUGACGGUACCCUCAAAGGAAGCACCGGCUAGCUACGUGCCAGCAGCCGCGGUAAUACGUAGGGUGCAAGCGUUGUUCGGAAUUAUUGGGCGUAAAGAGCGUGUAGGCGGUUACUUCAGCUCGGG